UUCUUAGUCCCUGCUAUAUUGAGAGGUGGAAGGAAAAUUAGGUAACUUCCUGCGGGGGAAGACAGCUCUCUCUGGAUACAGUGACACCUGGAAGAGAAACUGCCAACAUCCUCGCUCACCCUGCUCGCCCUGGGGUUUUGUAUCAGCAUCUGCAAGCCAGUGUCAAGAACACAGAGAUGAUAAUAACUUCUUAAGAUGAGCUAGGGCCUUUUAUUUUUUUUAUCAUCAAAUGUACAUGAAAGAGAAAGAGACAUAAUACAUAUACAAUCUUAUCUCAGAAAAACAAUCCUAUCUCAGAAAAAAAAAAUUAGAAACAACACCAGAACUGUAUGGGACACCUAAGUUCUAUUAAGUAUAAGACUGAAACCCCAAAGAGGGAGGGGAGAGAAAACAGAACUCCUAAUGUCUAAUAGGGCAAGAGAGGACACAGGAUGGUGUUGAGGUGAGAUGGAACUCUUUGCUGGGCUGGUGACAUCAGCUGUGAGACUCAGAUGACAAGUCGCUAGCAGAGAGAAGGCAAGAGUGAAGGCAUUUAGACAAGAGCACAACUACAAAGGCCCUAAAUACAGGUUAGUGUGGCUGGAACACCAGGAAUGGGGAUAGACAUGUCCUGGAGUGUGGAUGCGGGGACAGACAGGGAAGACUAAAGAGUAGAAAUUGCCUGGAGAGCCAUUUGUUUCCCCAUAGUCUCGGCCUGCUCUUGAUCAACAAAAGUGUGGUGGUUCGAAUAGGUAUGGCCCCCAUAGACUCAUAUAUUUGAAUGUUUGGCCCAUAGAGAGUGACACUAUUAGGAGGCAUGGCCUUAUUGGAGUAUUUGUAGCCUUGUUGGAGAAAGUGUGUCACUGUGGGGGUAGGCUUUUAGGUCUCAUAUGCUCAAGCCAUGCACACUGUCUCCUUGGGCUGCCUGGAUCAAGAUGUAGAACUCUUAGCUCCUCCAGCACCAUGUCUGCUUGCAUGCUACCAUGUCCCACCAUGAUGACAAUGGACUGAACAUCUGAAACUGUAAGCCACCCCAAUUAAAUGUUGUCCUUUAUAAGAGUUGCAGUGGUCAUGGUGUCUCCUCAUAGCAGUAGAAACCGUUACUAUGACAAAAGCCGAAGCUGAUUAUUAACUGGGUCAGUGUGACAAGGUCUAAUCACUGAAUGGCAGUGAAUGCUCCCAGUUCAGAGCAAAGGAAAGAAAACAGGAUGUUUCUUCCUGAAGAUGACAGCACCCAGUGAUCAAAAUCAAACUGAAUCACUGAACUGCAGCUAGACAGACAGAGGCCCUUGUGAGUCACAGGGCCCCUCAGUGACUAAACCUUAUGCCAAUGUCAUUCAGUAAGAGGUUCAGAUUUUAUUCAAGUGGAACAGAGAAUCAUUUGAAAUUUUGAGCUGGAGAAUGAUGAGCUCUUACACAUAUUUAUUUAUUUUCCUUAUGGUUGUUAGUUCCAAAUCGGGUCCCCAAAAUGGCAGUGCUGGUGACAAUGUCCUAAACAGAAGGAUUUUGGCUGGGUAAACAGAGGAUUGUUACUGGGUAAACAGAGCCUAAAAUUUGGUUUCUGUUUACCAGAAAAUUGGAUCUCACAAGGCAUGUUUUGUUUACCAGGAAUCUCCUUUAGUGCCUCAAUCCGCCCUCAAAGGCCAACUACCUUUAAUAAGAUCAACAGUCAUUCAUGUUUUAAAGAAUUAGGAAUAUAGAGAACUUUCAUCCAAAAGAAAAAAGCAUUAUAAAAAGCUACUAAUAGCCAGAUACUUUGGUGUGUGCCUGUGAUAGCCACACUCAGGGCAGAGACAGGAAGGCUGCUUGUUGAAAACACUGUGACACCCUAUUUUUGUUUUUUUUACCUGCUUAAGUUAAAAAAAAAGCAGCACCCCUUAGACUAGUGUUGAAAUAUCAAAAAUAUUUUCCUUUAGAUAAGUGUAAAAGGAAGAUUCCUCUGCCAUCCACUCUUUCCCUGUACUGAAGGUCCUACCAAACACACAGGUCUACCAUCCAUGCUGUCCCUGUAACGAAGGUCCUAUCUAACACACAGGUCUACCAUCCAUGCUGUACCUGUACUGAAGGUCCUACCUAACACACAGAUCUACCAUCCACACUGUCCCUGUAAUGAAGGUCCUACCUAACCCACAGGUACCAGAAAGGGAAGAGAGAGAAGAAGGAGAGGUAUGGGUCAGGAAUGAAGAAAUAAAACUGUCACUAUUUUAUCUUUGAAAAAUGCUGCAGAACAUAUAGACUAAUGAUGAGAAUUAAUAUAUGUAUUUAUCAUAAUCAAUGGGUGGAAGUUGAAGUUACAAAAAUUAGUUGUAGUAUGUAAGCAGCAAUGGACAAUCAGAAAGUAAAAAUAUUUAAUGAUGGUAUUUUAUAAUCAGUCAAAUUCACCAAAUAACUAUAAAAUUAUGCAAGGACAUCUACUUCAAAAAAAUAUGGUUGUGAAAAAACAAAGGAGACUAACAUAAAUGAAAUGCUAAUCCAUGUUCACAAGUU
ensembl:lncRNA